rnacentral:tRNA from 1 species
GGUAAUUAGUUUAACUAAAAUAAAUGAUUUCGGCUCAUUAGACUAUGGUUCUACCCCAUAAUUGCCA